rnacentral:rRNA from 1 species
UACGUAGGGGGCAAGCGUUGUCCGGAAUUAUUGGGCGUAAAGAGCGCGUAGGCGGUCCGGUAAGUCGGCUGUGAAAGUCAAGGGCUCAACCCUUGAAAGCCGGCCGAUACUGUCGGACUAGAGUCCGGAAGAGGCGAGUGGAAUUCCCGGUGUAGCGGUGAAAUGCGCAGAUAUCAGGAGGAACACCAAUUGCGAAGGCAGCUCGCUGGGACGUUACUGACGCUGAGACGCGAAAGCGUGGGGAGCAAACAGG